rnacentral:rRNA from 1 species
GACAGAGGGUGCAAACGUUGUUCGGAAUUACUGGGCGUAAAGCGCGUGUAGGCUGCUUCGAAAGUCGGAUGUGAAAGCCCUGGGCUCAACCUAGGAAGUGCAUUCGAAACUUCGAAGCUGGAGUCCUGGAGAGGAAGGCGGAAUUCUCGGUGUAGAGGUGAAAUUCGUAGAUAUCGAGAGGAACACCGGUGGCGAAGGCGGCCUUCUGGACAGUGACUGACGCUGAGACGCGAAAGCUAGGGGAGCAAACGGG